GCCCAUGCGGUAACACCAAAAUGCAAAUUUGGAGACGCACCCUAAAGGUGCCGGGGCUUCUCCCGUUUACGCAAACGGGAGAAGC
rnacentral:tRNA from 1 species